AGUACGGCUAACAGAAAGUUCACCAUCGCAUGAAACAUCGCAGAAUUAACAAGACACACAGACUAACACAACUAGUUCUGAUGGGGAUGCUUGCAGUUCGAAUCCAUGCUUGCACGGGACAUGCUUUGGAAAUGGGACAGAAUACCAUUGCUUUUGUCUUUCUGGAUUCACUUGGACAAAUUGCGAAACAACUAUAAACGCAUGUAAAUCUAAUCCGUGUGAGAGAGGCCUUUGCUAUCACUAUCACACACAAUUCCGGUGUGUCUGCCCUCCAGGCUACUCUGGCAAUCAAUGUGAAAU